UACCUGGUUGAUCCUGCCAGUAGUCAUAUGCUUGUCUCAAAGAUUAAGCCAUGCAAGUCUAAGUACGAGCUCUCGUACAGUGAAACUGCGAAUGGCUCAAUUCCACCAGGGCGAGAAUC
rnacentral:ncRNA from 1 species